CUUGUUGAAUUAUCACAAUUGUAACAAUGACACUAAUUCAUUUAAGUAUCUUGGACUCAGCAGAUGACCUGACAGCUAAACCCAUCUGCUACAAUAAAGUACUAAUGAACUUAAUACAGGUGUCAACAGGUAAACUCCUAAUCAAUAUCAAGAAUAAACAUGAAAACAUCAAAUUCAAUAAGUUUAAAAUUUAAUUAACAGGAUUAUCAAACAGCAACAAUAUAAUGAGAGUACAAUUUAGCAACUAGGAGUUGUUUACAUAAAUAUAUACCCAAUUAAUCAGUCUUUUUUUUUUACAUAAUGCAGCUUUAAAAAAUUACAAAACCACAACCUUUCUUUAUAUAUUAAAUUCAACAAUAAACCUAUCUAGAUGCCAUUAACCAACAAAAUGCAAAAAAUUAUUCACUUUUGUCAAAAUGGUAUAAAAUUGAAGGACUAACUUGAUUGUGUUACAUGAUGGUACAAAUUUAAGGAAAGGUAGCUACCAAAAUAGUCAGAUCUUUUAAUAGGUCCGAUUCUAUGGAAAAAACAACUAUUUUAUAAGGAUUUGAAUAAAAUCUUUUUUUAAACAAUAUAUAUAAGUCUGAUUAUAAAAAUUAAAUAUGUUCAUGUAGAGUUAAAAUGAGUGAUGUCUUUAUAAAAAUUUACAUUAAGCAUGUUCAAUAACAACCCCUUUCUAGAAAGCAUAGAUUUUUAUAAAUUAAUGUAUGUCCCUUGCCUUUCUUUAUUAAAUUCAUUACAUCCAUCUACCGAAUGUAUCCCUGGCAAUCAUAUAAAUGAGGGUAGUAAUGCCCUUAAACGUCAGGCCUCAAUCAGUCAUUUCAGCUACCAUUAGCGCCAAAUUGGUGAAAAUUUUACUGUGAUUCAUUAAAAUAUCAUUACCGUGAGUCGUCAGAGGUCUAAAAAUAAUCGUUACCAUCAUUUUGGAAAAAAAAUUAAUGUGAUUUGUCAAAAUCAGUCCAUAUUUUUAUCGUCUAAAAGAAAGUGUUCCUUUUAUUGUCAUACACAAAAAAUUAACAUUAACGUCAUUUAGCAAGAACUUUUACUGUUAUUCCUCAUGAAGGUAACGUACCCCCAUUACGACCCUUAUAUAUAAUAUAUAAUUCUAGUUUAGUACAGAAUUCCUUGUUAUCAACCAUAUCAAUGGUAUUAUUGUGUAUUUGUACAUUUCAUAUAUAUUUUCUGUGUCAAGUGCAGGAAAUUUGCAUAUACAUGUAUAAUAUAUUAAACAGACAAACUUUUUAUCUAAAAUUCUAUAUAUAUGUGAGAUAAUAUAAUAUAUAAGAUAACAUACAUUAACAUUGACAUAAACUGUAUGAUAUUUAAGGGAUAAGGACUGAAAACUUCCUUCUAUAUAAAAGAUAUCUGUUUCUAAGUAUAACUUAAGUUUUCAGAUAAAAUUGGGUCAUUCAAGUAUGAUAAAUUUUAUCUAACUUUCAUUUUUGUAAUAUAGCUGCCUACUCAAAAUCUUUUAUUGACCUGAUGUUGAAAUAUUUUUUUAUUCAAAUAAGCAUGAAGACUAAUAAACAUCUGAUACUUAAAUUUCUCUUUGCCAAAAAAAGAAAAAGAAAAUGCCUACCUACCAACCCACUAUCUCAAUGUUUGGUAGGGUUUGUGCAAACCAAAAUAUUUUUAAGUGUGGCCGGAAUAUUAAAUGAUUAUGAUUCAUUUUGUAAUAACAAAUAUGUAGAUAACUAUUUCAAUCUUUGGAAGUUAACAUUUAAAUAUAAUUCAUUUAUCCUCAUUAUAUGAUAUAUGUACAAUUUAUAAACACUAUCUGGAGCAUCUGAAUACAGAACUACAUGUACAUGUAGGUACAGUACAUGUAUAGAUACACGAUAUUAUUCUAAUGCUAUUUCUGAACUUCCUCCCAACAUUGUCCAUGAAAAAACAAUAUAAAGGCAGGCAAAAACAAACAUAAAAUUGUAGAGAUCUUUUG
rnacentral:lncRNA from 1 species